CCCUUAGAUGUUCUGGGCCGCACGCGCGCUACACUGAUGAAUUCAACGAGUUUACAACCUUGGUCGAGAGGCCUGGGUAAUCUUGUAAAUGUUCAUCGUGAUGGGGAUAGAUUCUUGCAAUUAUUAAUCUUUAACGAGGAAUUCCUAGUAAACGCAAGUCAUCAGCUUGCAUUGAUUACGUCCCUGCCCUUUGUACACACCGCCCGUCGCACCUACCGAUUGAAUGGUGCGGUGAAAUCUUUGGACCGUGACUUUGUUCUGCCUUCGGGCAGAGUAUUGUCGUGGGAAGUUGAUUAAACCUUACCAUUUAGAGGAAGGUGAAGUCGUANCA
rnacentral:rRNA from 1 species